UACGAAGGGGGCUAGCGUUGUUCGGAAUUACUGGGCGUAAAGCGCGUGUAGGCGGUUGUUCAAGUCAGGUGUGAAAGCCUUGAGCUCAACUCAAGAAAUGCACUUGAUACUGGAUGACUAGAGGACCGGAGAGGAUAGUGGAAUUCCCAGUGUAGUGGUGAAAUACGUAGAGAUUGGGAAGAACACCAGUGGCGAAGGCGGCUAUCUGGACGGUUUCUGACGCUAAGACGCGAAAGCGUGGGGAGCGAACAGG
rnacentral:rRNA from 1 species